rnacentral:rRNA from 1 species
UACGUAGGGGGCAAGCGUUGUCCGGAAUCAUUGGGCGUAAAGCGCGUGUAGGCGGCUCGGUAAGUCUGUUCUGAAAGUCCAGGGCUCAACCCUGGGAUGCGGAUGGAUACUGCCGAGCUCGAGUCCGGAAGAGGCGAGUGGAAUUCCUGGUGUAGCGGUGAAAUGCGCAGAUAUCAGGAGGAACACCAAUGGCGAAGGCAGCUCGCUGGGACGUGACUGACGCUGAGACGCGAAAGCUAGGGGAGCAAACGGG